GUUUGAAAACUAGAGGAGACUGAAGUUUUUGUGGCUUUCCUUUUUAUGAGUUUCACCAGCCUGGGCAAGAGUGUCCUGUUUUCUUUCUUGUGGUUUUCACUCCAGGAGAAGGAUGUUGGACGUUGACGCAAAGAUUCCUGGUAGAAGAGGUGUGAGAAGACUGGGGCUGAUGGAGUCAUGUCUGGUAACCAAGGCCUGAGACCAACACCUUAGCUGGGAAUUUUGAGCAGGGCACACUGACCUCAGACAGGGAGGGAAAGGUAAAG